AUGGGUCAAUUCCCAAUUCUCUUGUUUAGAAAUUACUCAACAAAAAGUUGCUUUUUGGUUAUAAUCUUGAGUACCCUUUUGUUGAUUUUGGAUAUUUUGGAUGAAAAGACUCAAUUUUGUGCAGCUUUUGCAGAGAUUUUAGUUGGGGUGGUGAAGUUUUUCAACUGGUGUAGCUUGAAGAUUUUGUGCCAAUUUGAAAGUGAUUUGUCAGGUUUCUUAUGGGGUUGA